rnacentral:lncRNA from 1 species
AUGGACCUUCCUGUCCCCAAUUCAGCAUCACCUAGCUCUCUCCUAAUGUGGGUUAAUUUUCCAUCAGCUCCUAGAAAGAGUGUAUUUCCAGACUCUCUGGGGACAGACAGAGGAGUUUCAAACAGGAUAAAGCAAGCUUCGAUGGAGAAUAUUUGGAGCCUGUCAUGGCAUCAGGCUGCUCCGACCACAUUUCUGCCAGAGGGGGGGAAAUGUGUUUGCUUGGAACAGGGUCACUGUGAAAAUCAAAUGAGAUUGCACAGGGAAAAAUCUCUUCAGACUGGAGCUCCAUGCAAUGGUCAUCAUCUGUUGAUGUUGCUCUCUGACAGAUUCUCACUCUGUUGCCAGGCUGGAGUGCAAUGGCGCGAUCUCAGCUCACUGUACCCUCUGCCUCCCAGGUUCAAGCGAUUCUCCUGCCUCAGCCUCCCACGUAGCUGUGACGACAGGCCCAGGAAGGAGGCCGGAGUAGUAUGGAUGGCAUCUGAGCUGGCAGGACGGGGUCUUGGUUUCUAA